rnacentral:pre_miRNA from 1 species
AUUCUACUCCCUCUGUUGCACAAUACAUGCCUUCUAUUUAUCAAAAUAUAUAUGUAUCUAGACAUGUUUUAGUAUAUAGGUACAUCCAUUUUUGGACAAAUGGAAGUCAAGUAUUUUGGAACGGAGGGAGUACACA